CUCAGUAACACGUGGAUAACCUACCCUUAGGACCGGAAUAACCCCGGGAAACUGGGGAUAAUACCGGAUAAGCCAUAGACGCUGGAAUGCCCUAUGGUUCAAAGCUCCGGCGCCUAAGGAUGGAUCUGCGGUCUAUCAGGUUGUAGUGGGUGUAACGUACCUACUAGCCGACGACGGAUACGGGUUGUGAGAGCAAGAGCCCGGAGAUGGAUUCUGAGACACGAAUCCAGGCCCUACGGGGUGCAGCAGGCGCGAACACUUUACAAUGCGGGAAACCGCGAUAAGGGAACCCCGAGUGCCAGCAUCAAAUGUUGGCUGUCCAGAUGAUUAAAAAUCAUUUGUUAGCAAGGGCCGGGCAAGACCGGUGCCAGCCGCCGCGGUAACACCGGCGGCCCGAGUGGUAGCCGUUUUUAUUGGGUCUAAAGGGUCCGUAGCCGGCCUGAUAAGUCCUUUGGGAAAUCUGGCAGCUUAACUGUCAGGCUUCUAAGGGAUACUGUCAGGCUUGGGACCGGAAGAGGUAAGGGGUACUCCAGGGGUAGGAGUGAAAUCUUGUAAUCCCUGGGGGACCAUCUGUGGCGAAGGCGCCUUACCAGAACGGGUCCGACGGUGAGGGACGAAAGCUAGGGGAGCAAACCGGAUUAGAUACCCGGGUAGUCCUAGCUGUAAACGAUGCUCGCUAGGUGUCAGACACGGUGCGACCGUGUUUGGUGCCGCAGGGAAGCCGGAAGCAUCCACCUGGGAAGUACGGUCGCAAGGCUGAAACUAAA
rnacentral:rRNA from 1 species